UUUCUUCAGUUGUAUUUUAGAAACUUGUACAGUUUCGAUGAAGUCGAACCUUUCCAGAAACAAAAGCUUAACAGUUUCCUGCAGGAAGGACUGAAGUGGAGCCACCAAUCAGAAAACUACUUGUCAAGGCCAUGAAGCUCCACUUAAAAUGAAGUUGUUUACAAUUCUGGACUGUAAUACGUGGCUAUGACUGAAGGUUGUUUGCUGUGCUGUUACCUGCUGUUGGCCAGCCCUGGCAGAGCCAGCCUCAAUGAGACACACUUGAAUUUGUGAAUGAAAGGAAAUCUUGCAUCGCAAAAAUGAAGUCAAGCUGGGUAGCCGCAUUCAGCGCAGUGGAAGCACUUGGGCAUGGUUUCAAACAUUGUUUUCUUCACGGUUGCAUCCAUACACAGUCAAAAUGUUGCUCAGG
rnacentral:lncRNA from 1 species